rnacentral:rRNA from 1 species
AGUGAACGCUGGCGGUAGGCCUAACACAUGCAAGUCGAACGGCAGCACAGGAGAGCUUGCUCUCUGGGUGGCGAGUGGCGGACGGGUGAGGAAUACAUCGGAAUCUACUCUGUCGUGGGGGAUAACGUAGGGAAACUUACGCUAAUACCGCAUACGACCUACGGGUGAAAGCAGGGGAACUUCGGGCCUUGCGCGAUUGACUGAGCCGAUGUCGGAUUAGCUAGUUGGCGGGGUAAAGGCCCACAAGGCGACGAUCCGUAGCUGGUCUGAGAGGAUGAUCAGCCACACUGGAACUGAGACUCGGUCCAGACUCCUACGGGAGGCAGCAGUGGGGAAUAUUGGACAAUGGGCGCAAGCCUGAUCCAGCCAUACCGCGUGGGUGAAGAAGGCCUUCGGGUUGUAAAGCCCUUCUGUUGGGAAAGAAAUCCAGCUGGCUAAUACCCGGUUGGGAUGACGGUACCCAAAGAAUAAGCACCGGCUAACUUCGUGCCAGCAGCCGCCGUAA